AAUGAACGCUGGCGGCAGGCCUAACACAUGCAAGUCGAACGGGAUCUUCGGAUCUAGUGGCGGACGGGUGAGUAACGCGUGGGAACGUGCCCUUUGCUUCGGAAUAGCCCCGGGAAACUGGGAGUAAUACCGGAUGUGCCCUUUGGGGGAAAGAUUUAUCGGCAAAGGAUCGGCCCGCGUUGGAUUAGGUAGUUGGUGGGGUAAUGGCCUACCAAGCCGACGAUCCAUAGCUGGUUUGAGAGGAUGAUCAGCCACACUGGGACUGAGACACGGUCCAGACUCCUACGGGAGGCAGCAGUGGGGAAUUUUCCGCAAUGGCGAAAGCCUGACGGAGCAAUACCGCGUGAGGGAAGAAUGCCUAUGGGUUGUAAACCUCUUUUUUCAGGGAGGAAUAAAAUGACGUGUACCUGAAGAAUAAGCAUCGGCUAACUCCGUG
rnacentral:rRNA from 1 species